AAAGCGUGCGCAGGCGGUUUUGUAAGUCUGACGUGAAAUCCCCGGGCUCAACCUGGGAAUUGCGUUGGAGACUGCAAGGCUAGAAUCUGGCAGAGGGGGGUAGAAUUCCACGUGUAGCAGUGAAAUGCGUAGAGAUGUGGAGGAACACCGAUGGCGAAGGCAGCCCCCUGGGUCAAGAUUGACGCUCAUGCACGAAAGCGUGGGGAGCAAACAGGAUUAGAUACCCGGGU
rnacentral:rRNA from 1 species